rnacentral:lncRNA from 1 species
CUGAGUCUCUAGGCCCACGUUCACACCUCCACAGUAACCUUACAAGCCCAGGCCAUUUCCUUACUCGGAGCUCAAAUACUAGAAAGUGAGAUUCUGGCCAUUGCUCCAUCCAGGAGACAUCCUGUGGCAUGCCCAUUCAACACGUGGCUUCAUCCAGUUCCGGCCCAGAGCUCUGGCCGAGGAGGUUUUCCUUGAAGAUUUACCGUGAUCGCAUAGAACUCGCUGAUUUUAAUUACUCGAGGGAAACCAUUUAUCAUCUGAUUUCUCCCCUUGUGUGUAGGAACAAAAAGCCUACGAAGGAACUCAGAGAGCUGUUGAAAUUCAAGGUCUGACACCUCAUUGCAGUUACUGCGUAGUGGCUGAAAUGUACCAGCCCAUGUUCGACAGAAGAAGCCCAAGAAGCAAGGAGAGAUGUGUGCAGAUUCCAUAAACUGGUCUGAAACCGGGAGCAUAUCCAAAAGAGGAUGGCUUGUGCCUUGAACGGCUCACUUCUGUUUGAUUUUCUUAGAGCAUUGUCUACCCACACCUUUCAAGGGUUUUUUUUAUUCAUUCUUUCUGUUUAUUUCAGUUAUAAAGUAAAUUCGAACAGAUUCAAAAAUAGAAUUUCAAGAGGAGAUAAAGAAUAAAGAGCUUGUGGUAACAGACAUCUUUAAUCCCAGCACUAAGAGGCAGAAUCAGGCAGAUUUCUGUCUUUAGGGCCAGCCUGGUCUACAUAGAGAGUUCCAGGCUAGCCAGGGUCACAGAGUGAGACCGUGCCUCAAUAAAGUAAGAUGUUAAGAUAAAAAUCUUCUAUAAAAUACAGAAGUUUAUCUGAAUAUAGCAACCCUAACAAUACUCUUUUUUUUCUGUUAAAAUCCCCAAAUAAGAACCAAAAAAUUACAGGCAUUUAAUAAAAUGUCGCAAUGAGUUUUAAAGCAUUAUAUACAGAAAAUCCUGAACCAAUGAUUUUUUAUACUCUAUCAAGCCUUUUGCUUUGCCAGGGAUAUACCAAUUUAAUACUUUGUGUGAACGAGUAUAUUUCUGUACAUUUCUAUUUUAGAUGAAUAUGUUUUUAUUUUUUUAUUUCUCAUGAGGUAUUUCUACUUAGUGAACUAACACUUUAAAAAUAAUCUCUCGUGGCUGUCUCUAAAUUAAUCUCCAGAAUAAGAUUUUCAAUAACAGCAUGUAAAUAGAAGGAAGUCUUCAUAAUACAAUUUCCCCUCACUUAACACCCAACCUUAGUAUGACUACCCUUUCUGGCUUUGCUUUUAAUAUUGCCUUAGAAGGUAACCUAUGCCGUAGAAGUGGAGUGUAUAUUUUUCAACAGCAAGGAUAGAAAGAAGAAACAGCUAAGCCACAGUGAUAACUCGGCAAAGUUAUCAUUCAGGCAAAGGGAUCUCUCUGUUCUGGGAACAACUGGAGACCAUAUAGGAAACUUGGCUUGAAGCCAAAGGCACACUGUGGGUGCUUAAGUUGUUUCUGGGAUUAUAAGGAAAACCACAACCCUGCGAACUACACUGCCUCUCCUAAGCAAAGAUUAGGUGGCCGAAGGCUCAGAAAGUGGCCAGCGUUGCUAAGUCUCUUGUUAGCUCUUGAACUUAGACUAGCUGCUCCUGAAAAGACAUGUGGGAGAGAACAUCUGUGGUCUUCAUGAAAGGUGCUCCAACGUAUUACUUCAGAAAGUACAGUCAAUGUGUCUGUCUGCUUACAUCUACCAUGAUAAAUGGUAGUAGACCAUUAAAAAAUGUGGGAGACGUGAAAACCAAGAGUGAGGGCAUCGUCCUGGCUGUUCUGUGUGUUCAAAAAACACUGGCUUUCACUCCUAUUUUUGAAUUAUUCAAUUUUUAUUUCUUUAGUGGCUUAAUACCUGCUUGGAGUUUCUUUGGGUUUUUUGUUUCUUUGAAUGUUUGUCUUCUAUUUUGUACGUUGGGAAGGGCGAGACUUGAGAAGGAUAACCUGUCUUUGGGAAUCAGGACCACGUGUGGUGGCAGCAUUCAUGUUGUAAGAUGCGGUAGUCUAAAGCCUCAUGAUACAAAAGGCAAUGAAUGUAUAUGGAUGUUGUCAGGUAACAGAGCUUUGCUUUGAUUCUGUUUCCUUGGGGUCUGCCUUCUUGCAUGAACACAGCCAUGCUCAGAUAAGUAUAAAACCCUCUGAAAACCAUUACCAUGUUCACAUUCUUGAUCAUGUUAACAACAUACUGUCUCUGUACUUCAAUAAAUCUUACUUUGUACUUUACACACUGAA